GCAGAACUGAAACUGGUUGGAAAUGGUGCUUCUCCCUUCUCCACUCCGGCUUUAGCUCUCAGCCUUGGGGGUGGGCAUAUGGCCUUGGAUGCAGUAACUAUCCCAACACACAAAGAUGAAGAGGCACUUGGUCCUGAAACUCUGAGUGAAGUUUGGUUUAAAGAAAAUGGACUGGUUUGGCAGAGAAAAUAUCAGAAUGAGAGCACUUCUCAGCCAAUUUUAAAAGGCAGCUGUAAUUAAUAGAGACAUCAGCACCUCUGACAUGAAAUUCCUGCACUGCACUGAGAGAAUGGAAACAUAUCCUGAGGGCAAAACCCUGCCCUCAGAGGAGGCUUCAUCUCUAAAGAUUCAAAUUCAUUUCAAGGAAGAAAGCAGAAGUGGAAAGGUUCACUGUUUUCAGGAGCAACUGCUCAUGAAAGCGUUCCCUACAGGCAUCACGCAGACACUGAUACAGCUGGGUCCAAGGCUGACUCGGAUAAGCUGCCACUGUGUGCCAAAUGUGCAAGCUGCUUGGAGUGAUACUAAGCCCCCGAUGUAGCACCAUUCCCUCGGGAUGAUGAGCCAGCGACCACAUCCAUCAGGACCUUAUACUCUGCUGGCUUAGAAGUUAUUGUUCCAGAGUGCUUCUGCCAGGAGAUACAACAAACAUUGCAUUGAGCUAGACGCUAAGACACGCCCACCCCCCACAAGCUUAUGUUGGGUUUCUGAUGAUCUUAACCCAACAGGCUAAAAUAGGAGUAACAGUGUUAGAAGGGAUGACUGAUCCAGACUACCAGAGGCAAACUGGAUUGCUUCUCCACAAGAAGAUUGUCUGAAGUGUAGGAGGAGAUCCUUUAGGGCAGUGCUUCUCAACCUUCCUGAUGCUGCCGCCCUUUAAUGCAAGUUCCUCAUGUUGUGAUAACCCCAACCAGAAAAUUAUGUUGUUGCUACUUCAUAACUGCAGUUUUGUUGUUAUGAAUAGCAAUGUGAAUGUCUGACAUGCAGAAUAUCUGAUAGUCGACCCCCAAAGAGGUCAGGACCCCCACAGGCUGAGAACUGCGGCUUUAGGGCAUCUCCUGGUGUUACCAGGCCAUGUGAUUGAGGUCAAUGGGAAAUUGCAACAAUUCAAUCCAGGCAAGGUGACGAAUGACCUAGACCCCUCAGGGAUGCAUAUAUGGGUCACCCCUCCAGGACAGAAUACAGAAUGGGGAGUAGAGGAAGGUAGCUAUAAAUACCAGCCAUGGCCAUGCGACUAGUUUCAGAAAUGAGGAUUAUAAUUUAGCCUGUCCUUGAGGGAAGUCAAGGCAGGAAUCUGGAGCCAGAAACUGAAGCAGAGGAAGAAUGUUGCUUACAUGACUCAGACUAUUUUUUAUACCUCCCAGGGUCACCUGCCCAGGGGUGGCACUGACUGCCAGGGGAUGGCUCUGCUCACAAAGGCUGGGCCCUUCUUUCCACAUUGGUCAUUAACCAAGAAAAUGGCUCACAGACCAAACUGAUGGAGGCAUUUUCUCCGUUGAGGUUCCCUCCUCCCAGAUGACCUUAGCAAGUGUUAAGCUGAAAAAAAAAAAAAACUAACAUACACAAACAUAUUUGUGCUUAAUACACAAAUGUUAAGC